rnacentral:rRNA from 1 species
GACGUAGGGCGCGAGCGUUGUCCGGAUUUAUUGGGCGUAAAGAGCUCGUAGGCGGCUUGUCGCGUCGUUCGUGAAAACCUGGGGCUCAACCCCAGGCUUGCGGUCGAUACGGGCAGGCUAGAGUUCGGUAGGGGGAGACUGGAAUUCCUGGUGUAGCGGUGGAAAUGCGCAGAUAUCAGGAGGAACACCGAGUGGCGAAGGCAGGAUCUCUGGGCCGAAUGACUCUGAGGAGCGAAAGCGUGGGGAGCGAACAGG